GCAUUGGUGGUUCAGUGGUGGAAUUCUUGCCUCACACGUGGGAGAUCCAGGUUCGAUUCCUGGCCAAUGCA